GUUAGAGUGUACUGUCAACCUCAUCUUUACAUUUCAGCUCUUGUGCAAUACAUUCAGCCUUUAUACAGCUCUCAUAGCUGUGUAUCUGGGAUAUCGAAAUAUCUCAAAUGAAACCAAAUGUUUACAGAAGUUCACUUUGCUACUGUGUAAAAUCACUCUCAUUUCUCUCUGCCAAGUAGUCCGUGAGGUGAGAACAGGGCUGUUUACUGCACAAAUGCAAAAUCGAGUACAAGAGGAAACAACAGAGGAACAAAAUUCAGACCUGAGUCCUGGUGGAAGUUCCAUGAUAUUAGUUCCACUGAAGCUUUUAUUUGAGACGUUGGCAAUUUUGCUCUUCAGAUCCCUGACACCAGCUGGAAUUUUCAGUUCUACACGGAGGUAUUAAUCCAUGGUCUUCAGCCAUUCCUUGAACUUCAGAAAAUUCACUCAGGUCUGGAAGAAGGAUAUGUUCCUUGAAGGGUGCCAGAUGGUGAAGCUCCAAUGGCCAGCCUGCCUCCUCUAACUGCUACAAAGAGAAUUUUCAGGAAGAAUCCAACCCAUCUCAUAUAGGCCUUGAACAGUAAUGCUCACAAUGUUUGGACACUUCAGAGAACAUAACUUUCAAUGUCUACAGAUACUCUCUUGGAUGAGCCAAAUGACUACCCUUAGAUUAUAAGUGUGAUGUAGACCAAAGGCACAUACACACGAUUAACUACAGCAGAACAUCAAUAACAAAUCUGCCUUACAGCUCAGUACUUUGUUUACAGUGCAUAGAUGGAGUCAGGAGC
rnacentral:lncRNA from 1 species